rnacentral:rRNA from 1 species
UACGUAGGGGGCAAGCGUUGUCCGGAUUUAUUGGGCGUAAAGAGCGUGUAGGCGGCCAGGUAGGUCAGCUGUGAAAACUCGAGGCUUAACCUCGAGACGCCGGCUGAAACCCUCUGGCUAGAGUCCGGAAGAGGAGAGCGGAAUUCCUGGUGUAGCGGUGAAUUGCGCAGAUAUCAGGAAGAACACCCGUGGCGAAGGCGGCUCUCUGGGACGGUACUGACGCUGAGACGCGAAAGCGUGGGGAGCGAACAGG